UACGUAGGGUGCAAGCGUUGUCCGGAAUUAUUGGGCGUAAAGAGCUCGUAGGCGGUUUGUCGCGUCUGCUGUGAAAACCCGAGGCUCAACCUUGGGCUUGCAGUGGGUACGGGCAGACUAGAGUGCGGUAGGGGUGACUGGAAUUCCUGGUGUAGCGGUGGAAUGCGCAGAUAUCAGGAGGAACACCGAUGGCGAAGGCAGGUCACUGGGCCGCAACUGACGCUGGAGGAGCGGAAAAGCAUGGGAGCGAACAGG
rnacentral:rRNA from 1 species